UGUGUCUUACACAAAAGCUUCCAGUGGGACCAUAAUACAGUGUUAUAGCUUCGCAAGAUAAAUGUUUGUUUGCAAAGUUGUAUUUUAUUGUUUCCCUCUCACCUCUUUGUAAAGGAUUAAAACUCUGCUUCUCAUCUUAUAUGAUGUUCUUGCAUUUUACAGAAUCCUCAAUUCCCCACAGUGCGUCUCAGCCUCCCCUGACGACAACCAUCAAAACCCUCAGCACCUCCACAUCACACCGACCAGAAUCCACCGGGCCCGUCCUCUCACAGGACAUCGCCCACAGUCCCAGCAUAACCUGGGGUUUUGGCCUGCCCCUAUUGGUCGUUGUUUCAAUUACAGUGAUGAUUGUGAUCACUUUGGUUAUGGGUGUAGUUUGCUGCAGAAAGAAGGCAAAACGUGAACAUAUAUAUCUUUAUUUAUAUAUAUAAAUGAACGUGUUGUUUUUCUUUGCAGACAAAUGUGGAGAAACUCUGUGUGAGUCACAGAAGCAAGAUGCAACGCAGAGGCAGAGGCAGAGAUGGCGCAGACUCAGACGGUCUACACUGAAGCUACACCUGAACAGCUGGAACAGCUGCAGCAGCAGGGCAUCCACUAUGAUGCCAUCACCUUCACUGAUGAAUAGGCGGCAUCUUAAAACUACUGGGACUCAAACCUGCGUCGCCCAGGACCAGUACAAACCACUAUGAGCUGACAAGUACCGUGCAGUAACCUCAACUUAUUUAUGCAUCCAGCUGGCUGUGAACUAAAGCAUCGUGUCCUCCACGGUCUCAUCUGCUCGGGGGAGUUUGCACUGUUUAGUAAGAUCUACAGCUUUUUGUAAAUUCAGAUUAUUGCACCCAGCGCUUCUAACUUAAUCAUAGGGGCUGUACAUUUAGGAUCGGGAUUGUAAUUCUGAAAAUGUAUUUGUGUCAAUGUGCCUCAACUGCUUCGAUUUGCAAGACAAUGUUAUCAAAGAAAAUGAAACUGCUUAUAUCGUGUGUUUGGAAAUAUACAGAGUACCCAAAUUAACAUUUUAGUUUUCAGAUGGAGAAAAUGGAAAGGGGAGCAUUUCUUUUGAUCUGUAAUAAGACAUGUUGAUUGCUAGAAUGCCACAACCUCAUGUUUACUGAAUAUGAACAUGUACAUACCUUUUACUUUUGUUUUGUAAAGAGCGAUUUGUUUUGGAUGAGUGAAUAUGAAGUGUUUAAUAAGCUAAAAGCUGACACCAAAUAAAUCACUUUGUGUAUAUUCUUUGUAUCCAUAAAUACUCAGAGCUUA